UACGUAGGGCGCAAGCGUUAUCCGGAAUUAUUGGGCGUAAAGAGCUCGUAGGCGGUUUGUCGCGUCUGCCGUGAAAGUCCGGGGCUCAACUCCGGAUCUGCGGUGGGUACGGGCAGACUAGAGUGAUGUAGGGGAGACCGGAAUUCCUGGUGUAGCGGUGAAAUGCGCAGAUAUCAGGAGGAACACCGGUGGCGAAGGCGGGUCUCUGGGCCGAUACUGACGCUGAGGAGCGUAAGCGUGGGGAGCGAACAGG
rnacentral:rRNA from 1 species